rnacentral:misc_RNA from 1 species
GCCAUCUUGGCUAAUGGUUGCUUUCCAUGCAUCAUUUGAUCAUGGUUAGGGGCCAUUUGUUGGUGUGGUUUCGGAGAUGUCUACCGUAAAGGUGCAUGAGUGGUGUUUGGUUUGUUACGGGUGGUUGGCUCUUUGCUUGCGCAACAACUUCCACCUGGCAUUCCUCUUCAGUUUUGUUUCAAUGCUCUUAAUGACAUUGAGCGCACGCCGGGUUUCUUGUGUUGCAUGCCUAAUGGAUGGUAUCGUUUGACGAGCCGGUAAUUAUAUUCGUCUUGUGUUGCACAUGCGAUGCAAGAUGAACCUUAAAGCAGCAUUCGUGAUCCACUCUUAUGAUGCACACGCAUCGUUUUUGUGGCUCAGCGAGUGUUUGCUUGGUCUCAUGGAUACGGAACCUUGUGUGGGCAUGUGAUCUCUAACCAGAUCACUGUUUGUCCUAGCUAAGCUAUUUCAAAAACGAUUUCCUAUCACGUCUCGACGUGGUAGGUUAUAUCGAAUAUGAAUGCUACCUGG